GUUAGCUGCGUAGGCAGCGACUUGAUAAAGGGAAAAUGAACUGAAUCAUUAAGCUUCCUUUAUCGUCUCCUCUUUACAGACCACAAAACUGACUGGAGGAAACUCUACCAAAAACUUUAAUAUGGAAAAAAGGGAAAAAAUGAAAACAUCAAGAUCCCUCCACAAAGCUCUGCAAAGAUUCAUGAAAAUCAUCUACUCAAGGUGCCUGGAAAAGACCGAGGAGAUAAUGGACAGGGAUCCCCAGCUCCUAGCAGUAACUCCAAAGUCUCCAAAGAAGAUGAUGGACCAGCCACCAUGAUGACUCCAUCUGGAUUGUGGUAACAGAAACUACUGGAUGAGGUGAGACAUCCCCAGUGCUGCACCUGCUGCCAGGACCCACCCCAAACUGUGGACAAGGAAGACACUGGAGAGUUGAUUGUCCCACUUUUCCUAGAGAUUUCCACUUGACUGACGUCAACCUGCUCCAAACAAAUGCCAGACCUGGACUUGAUGAAAGUCGAUGUGAACCAGACCACAUGUGAUUGCUCCCUGUCUCUUCAGCUGGGUCAGCAAACCAGAUGCUUCUGAUGAAUAGAUACCCCACUGCCUGAAUUCCCUCCUUGCCUUUGAAUAGCAUUUCAGCCCUCACCUGCUCCUGGCCCUACAACAUCAUCUUAGUUUCAACAGGAAGUGGUUGUUCUCCAACAGGCUGGAAUGUUAGAUCAAAAGAAUAGUCCCUGGUUCAGGGGACAAAAGCUACUUAUAGAACCUAUUUGCAUACCAGGAAAGGUACCUGUUAAACCAAAUAGGCCCAGAUCUAUCAAUAGGUAGAUUCAUUAACUGAAAUAGUUCUGCAUUAUGCCAGGGCACUCAACUUGCUCUAUGCAAAACAAAGGUUAUUGUAUACCUUUAAGAGAAAAUUGUUGUUUCUAUUCAAACUGCCCAGGAAUCAUUAGAAAUAACCUGGUUGUACUAAGAAAAAUUGCAUAAAAGGGGACCUGGGAUAAGUAAAUAACCGAUCCCUACUCUCAUUUCCAGCUUCCAUCUAGAUAGUAACUCUGAUGUCAGCCAUCACAAGGCCUUUGGCCCUUCUGCUUCUGCUGAUGGCUGUUGGCUCUUGCAUCCUUGAUGCCUUAACUAAGUGAUAAUUCCUGUCUGGGCACCAUUAAACUGAUGAUUAUUAGAUCCCAAUAUAAACAGGUACCCAUCACAGAGUCAAGGAUUUGGCUCAGGAUACAACUCAAGGGGGGAAUGUGAGAGCCAAGUUACAUUUUAAGUUGUAAUUACUAUGCAAAGAGGUCCAUGAAACAAAAAUACCUCUGAUCUGCAAGCACCUGUCCAAGAACAGAUAGUUCCUGAAAUGUUGGAGUCUAUUGUCUAUGGGCGAUAAGAAGCCAUGUGUUUCCACUCCCCUAAACAAGUUUGUUUGAUCCAUCUGCAUUGAACGUGCUUGAUCACAUGUGGGUAGGAGGUAUACAGGCAGGAAGUACAUCAGGAUGGAUGUUUGUCUCUGAUCAAACCUCAUGGGAAAUAUAGUGAAUUACGGAUUGCACCUUCUGAAGACUCUGCAAAAUGUGACUUGGGGCCAUUUCCUUAUUCCCAGAGGCUUUUUCUCCAUUCCCCCAUCCCAGCUCCGUAGAGAGCUGGCUCAGUAAGUCUGAGCUGUCCUGUGGAAGGAUAGACUUUCCCUGUCUUUUCCUCAAACAGGCACUCCUAUACUUCUGUGAUGUAGGGUCAUGGAGCUGAGUCACUUGCUGUGGGUGCAGAGUCAGAUCAGGUCAGUGGGAUGUUGUAAGCUUGUGAGGAAGCUCUUGUGUAUACUGCUCCUGCUUUCCUUAUAGCUCUCCUACGAGCGUAUGUUUGAGACAAGACCUCUUGUAGCCCAAGCUGCUCUUGAACUCUUGAUCUUCUGCUUGCAUCUGCUGGGUGCUGGGAUUGGAGACAUACAUUCUCACAUCUGGCUUAUUCAGUGUGAAGAUUGUACGUGGGUUUUACCGAACCAACUGAGUUAAAUCUCCAGCCCCCUAAAAAACACAGUUUUAAAAGAAGCCUGCUACAUUUCCACAUACAGAGUUGAGCACAUGAUCAGAAUGGCCAUUAAGAAUGAAGGAAAGACUAUGAAGUUCAAUAAUUGAAGAGACAUACUAUCUUCCCUUUCUUAGGGUUGGUAGGGUUACUAGGUGAUGUAAAUGGAGGUAUCAUUGGAUAUUGAUUAGAGAGAGAUGCUGCAACAAUAAAUCCCACAAUGAAUUCCACAGCUUAUUGUUAAUCAAGAAUGAGCAGUCAUAUAUUAAGAUCUCUCAGAUAUUUCCAAGGUCAAUGUUGAUAAUGGAGUCCACAGUAAGACCUUCCCAGAAAGGAAGCACACACUCUUUUUUUUUUUUUUUGAAUUAGAAACAAGAUUGUUUUACAUGUCAAUCCCAGUUCCCACUCCCUCCCCUACCACUCCCUCCCUAACUAAAACCCUACCUAUCACAUAUCCUUACUGCUCCCCAGGGAGGGUGAGGCCUUCCAUAGGUGGUCAUCAGAGUCUAUCCUAUCCUUUGGGAUAGGGCCUAGGCCCACCCCCGGGAAGCACACACUCUUGAUUUAACGUCCACUUGUCCAUCUCUUCCCCUGUUCUUGGCUCUGCUUCUCUUCUUCCCUCCAUCCAAUGUGUGCUAGGAAAUGCAGAACACUUUAUUCUAAACAAAACAUAACGUAGGAAAGAGAAGAAACUGGGAAAAUAAUAAUAAUUCCGUUCCCAAGUUUGUGGACUCUUGGCUCUUUGAAUGCUCUCUGUCAGGAUGCCCUCCAAACAGGGCUGUCAAGAACUGGCAGGAAGAAGGGCGUUUGCUGGCCUUAGUGGAAACACAGAAGCACUCAGAGAGAGGAAAUGUCUUUUGUAUCCAAGGAACAAACAGUAGUUAUCCUCUCAGCAUUUAAUAGCCUCAACAAGGUGAAGGUUACCAGAGAAAGCCCAGAAAAAUAAUGUAGGUUUUGCCUCCAAAGCCUCAAUUAUCAAGGAUGUUUGGCUUACAGACAAAAGGGCUAAUUAUUUUCCGAGGAGAACUGUUUUCUUUCUGUUUCUUCAUCAUCUUUCAAACCCAUUUUUUAUUGUUCCUUUCCAUAUUAAACAUGUACAUACUCUGUGUGUCCUCCUUAUCCUCAAGUGCACAUGUACACACACACA